CAAUCUAAUUAUUUAUGCCGAAUUUGAAAAUCUGAUCAGUUGUGAUAAAAAUAGAAAUUUUUUUAUAGAUUUCUAAGAAUGUACACAAAUCAGAUAAGAAGUAUACCAAAGAGGCAGAUCGGAAACCAGUUUCAUAGUGUUUACCAGUCAGAUCUUCUACCCCAGAAAGCUAAGAGAAAAGCGAAUGUAAUAAACGAAGAUCCCUCUACCGAGAAAGAGUCCCAUUUGGUGGCUAUUUAUUUCCACAGCAAUUCCGCAGAUUAUUACAACAGCUACGGAGUUAAAUCUAGCAACGAAAAUAUAAUAAAAU
rnacentral:lncRNA from 1 species